AUUGAACGCUGGCGGCAGGCUUAACACAUGCAAGUCGAGCGGUUGAAGGGAGCUUGCUCCCUGAUUCAGCGGCGGACGGGUGAGUAAUGCCUAGGAAUCUGCCUAUUAGUGGGGGACAACGUUUCGAAAGGAACGCUAAUACCGCAUACGUCCUACGGGAGAAAGCAGGGGACCUUCGGGCCUUGCGCUAAUAGAUGAGCCUAGGUCGGAUUAACUUGUUGGUGAGGUAAUGGCUCACCAAGGCGACGAUCCGUAACUGGUCUGAGAGGAUGAUCAGUCACACUGGAACUGAGACACGGUCCAGACUCCUACGGGAGGCAGCAGUGGGGAAUAUUGGACAAUGGGCGAAAGCCUGAUCCAGCCAUGCCGCGUGUGUGAAGAAGGUCUUCGGAUUGUAAAGCACUUUAAGUUGGGAGGAAGGGUUGUAGAUUAAUACUCUGCAAUUUUGACGUUACCGACAGAAUAAGCACCGGCUAACUCUGUGCCAGCCGCCGCCGUAA
rnacentral:rRNA from 1 species